AGAGUUUGAUCCUGGCUCAGGAUGAACGCUAGCGGCAGGCCUAAUACAUGCAAGUCGGACGGGAUCCAUCGGAGAGCUUGCUCAAAGAUGGUGAGAGUGGCGUACGGGUGCGUAACGCGUGAGCAACCUACCUCUAUCAGGGGGAUAGCCUCUCGAAAGAGAGAUUAACACCGCAUAAUAUAACUAUUCGGCAUCGUUUGGUUAUUAAAUAUUUAUAGGAUAGAGAUGGGCUCGCGUGACAUUAGCUGGUUGGUAAGGUAACGGCUUACCAAGGCGACGAUGUCUAGGGGCUCUGAGAGGAGAAUCCCCCACACUGGUACUGAGACACGGACCAGACUCCUACGGGAGGCAGCAGUAAGGAAUAUUGGUCAAUGGGCGGAAGCCUGAACCAGCCAUGCCGCGUGCAGGAUGACUGCCCUAUGGGUUGUAAACUGCUUUUGUCCGGGAAUAAACCCAGGUACGUGUACCUGGCUGAAUGUACCGGAAGAAUAAGGAUCGGCUAACUCCGUGCCAGCAGCCGCGGUAAUUC
rnacentral:rRNA from 1 species